rnacentral:rRNA from 1 species
UACGUAGGGUGCAAGCGUUAAUCGGAAUUACUGGGCGUAAAGCGUGCGCAGGCGGUUUUGUAAGUCUGACGUGAAAUCCCCGGGCUCAACCUGGGAAUGGCGAUGGAGACUGCAAGGCUUGAAUCUGGCAGAGGGGGGUAGAAUUCCACGUGUAGCAGUGAAAUGCGUAGAGAUGUGGAGGAACACCGAUGGCGAAGGCAGCCCCCUGGGUCAAGAUUGACGCUCAUGCACGAAAGCGUGGGGAGCAAACAGG